rnacentral:snRNA from 1 species
AAGUAAACCUUGAAUAUAAAAAUUGGAAAGAUAUUAUAGACAAGAUUAACAAGGCCUCUGUGCAAAGAUAACAUGCAAAUUCGUGAAGUGUUCCAUGUUAAA